rnacentral:rRNA from 1 species
CGGCGCUUCGGAUUAUUGGGCGUAAGAGCUCGUAGGCGGUUUGUCGCGUCUGUCGUGAAAGUCCGGGGCUUAACCCCGGAUCUGCGGUGGGUACGGGCAGACUAGAGUGCAGUAGGGGAGACUGGAAUUCCUGGUGUAGCGGUGGAAUGCGCAGAUAUCAGGAGGAACACCGAUGGCGAAGGCAGGUCUCUGGGCUGUAACUGACGCUGAGGAGCGAAAGCAUGGGGAGCGAACAGGAUUAGAUACCCUGGUAGUCCAUGCCGUAAACGUUGGGCACUAGGUGUGGGGACCAUUCCACGGUUUCCGCGCCGCAGCUAACGCAUUAAGUGCCCCGCCUGGGGAGUACGGCCGCAAGGCUAAAACUCAAAUGAAAUUGACGGA